rfam:Ornithorhynchus anatinus chromosome 2, whole genome shotgun sequence.
ACACUCUCAGGGAUGCACCUGGAGAGUUUCCAGUCCUCUACCAGUCUCGACUAUGGGAGGGAGAGUCAAGCAGAGGCCUGUCCAUUCCAUUUCUAGCUCGGGCAGUGGCUAGCGAGUGGAAGACCAUCUGCUACAAGU